rnacentral:rRNA from 1 species
AGUGAACGCUGGCGGUAGGCCUAACACAUGCAAGUCGAACGGCAGCACAGUAAGAGUUUGCUCUUACGGGUGGCGAGUGGCGGACGGGUGAGGAAUACAUCGGAAUCUACUUUUUCGUGGGGGAUAACGUAGGGAAACUUACGCUAAUACCGCAUAUGACCUACGGGUGAAAGCAGUGGAUAUUCGGACCUUGCGCGAUUGAAUGAGCCGAUGGCGGAUUAGUUAGUUGGCGGGGUAAAGGCCCACCAGGGCGACGAUCCGUAGCUGGUCUGAGGGGGGGAUGAGCCACAGUGAAAGUGAGAGCCGGUCCAGGCUCUUAGGGAAGGCAGCGAUGGGGAAUGUUGGAAAAUGGGGGCAAGCCUGCACAAGCCAUACCGGGUGGGUGAAGAAGGCCUUCGGGUUGUAAAGCCCUUUUGUUGGGAAAGAAAAGCAGCAGGUUAAUACCCCGCUGUUCUGAGGGAACCCAUAGAAUAGGCACGGGCUAACUUGGU